rnacentral:rRNA from 2 species
UUAAGCGACUAAGCGUACACGGUGGAUGCCCUGGCAGUCAGAGGCGAUGAAGGACGUGCUAAUCUGCGAUAAGCGCCGGUAAGGUGAUAUGAACCGUUAUAACCGGCGAUUUCCGAAUGGGGAAACCCAGUGUGAUUCGUCACACUAUCAUUAACUGAAUCCAUAGGUUAAUGAGGCGAACCGGGGGAACUGAAACAUCUAAGUACCCCGAGGAAAAGAAAUCAACCGAGAUUCCCCCAGUAGCGGCGAGCGAACGGGGAGGAGCCCAGAGCCUGAAUCAGCAUGUGUGUUAGUGGAAGCGUCUGGAAAGGCGCGCGAUACAGGGUGACAGCCCCGUACACAAAAGCGCAUGUGCUGUGAGCUCGAUGAGUAGGGCGGGACACGUGGUAUCCUGUCUGAAUAUGGGGGGACCAUCCUCCAAGGCUAAAUACUCCUGACUGACCGAUAGUGAACCAGUACCGUGAGGGAAAGGCGAAAAGAACCCCGGCGAGGGGAGUGAAAAAGAACCUGAAACCGUGUACGUACAAGCAGUGGGAGCACAGGUUUACCUGUGUGACUGCGUACCUUUUGUAUAAUGGGUCAGCGACUUAUAUUCUGUAGCAAGGUUAACCGUAUAGGGGAGCCGGAGGGAAACCGAGUCUUAAUUGGGCGUUAAGUUGCAGGGUAUAGACCCGAAACCCGGUGAUCUAGCCAUGGGCAGGUUGAAGGUUGGGUAACACUAACUGGAGGACCGAACCGACUAAUGUUGAAAAAUUAGCGGAUGACCUGUGGCUGGGGGUGAAAGGCCAAUCAAACCGGGAGAUAGCUGGUUCUCCCCGAAAGCUAUUUAGGUAGCGCCUCGUGAAUUCAUCUCCGGGGGUAGAGCACUGUUUCGGCUAGGGGGCCAUCCCGGCUUACCAACCCGAUGCAAACUGCGAAUACCGGAGAAUGUUAUCACGGGAGACACACGGCGGGUGCUAACGUCCGUCGUGAAGAGGGAAACAACCCAGACCGCCAGCUAAGGUCCCAAAGUCAUGGUUAAGUGGGAAACGAUGUGGGAAGGCCCAGACAGCCAGGAUGUUGGCUUAGAAGCAGCCAUCAUUUAAAGAAAGCGUAAUAGCUCACUGGUCGAGUCGGCCUGCGCGGAAGAUGUAACGGGGCUAAACCAUGCACCGAAGCUGCGGCAGCGAACGUAUCACCCAAGACAACUUUACGGAGUUGACGAUUGACGGAGCGAAGCGACGUCAAAGCGUUCAUUAAAGUCGAGUUGGCUUAGGGAUACGUUCGUUGGGUAGGGGAGCGUUCUGUAAGCCUGUGAAGGUGUGUCGUGAGGCAUGCUGGAGGUAUCAGAAGUGCGAAUGCUGACAUAAGUAACGAUAAAGCGGGUGAAAAGCCCGCUCGCCGGAAGACCAAGGGUUCCUGUCCAACGUUAAUCGGGGCAGGGUGAGUCGACCCCUAAGGCGAGGCCGAAAGGCGUAGUCGAUGGGAAACGGGUUAAUAUUCCCGUACUUGGUGUUACUGCGAAGGGGGGACGGAGAAGGCUAUGUUGGCCGGGCGACGGUUGUCCCGGUUUAAGCGUGUAGGUGUGUGUUCCAGGUAAAUCCGGUUCACUUUAACACUGAGGCGUGACGACGAGGCACUACGGUGCUGAAGCAACAAAUGCCCUGCUUCCAGGAAAAGCCUCUAAGCAUCAGGUAACACGAAAUCGUACCCCAAACCGACACAGGUGGUCAGGUAGAGAAUACCAAGGCGCUUGAGAGAACUCGGGUGAAGGAACUAGGCAAAAUGGUGCCGUAACUUCGGGAGAAGGCACGCUGACACGUAGGUGAAGUGAUUUACUCAUGGAGCUGAAGUCAGUCGAAGAUACCAGCUGGCUGCAACUGUUUAUUAAAAACACAGCACUGUGCAAACACGAAAGUGGACGUAUACGGUGUGACGCCUGCCCGGUGCCGGAAGGUUAAUUGAUGGGGUCAGCGUAAGCGAAGCUCCUGAUCGAAGCCCCGGUAAACGGCGGCCGUAACUAUAACGGUCCUAAGGUAGCGAAAUUCCUUGUCGGGUAAGUUCCGACCUGCACGAAUGGCGUAAUGAUGGCCAGGCUGUCUCCACCCGAGACUCAGUGAAAUUGAACUCGCUGUGAAGAUGCAGUGUACCCGCGGCAAGACGGAAAGACCCCGUGAACCUUUACUAUAGCUUGACACUGAACAUUGAGCCUUGAUGUGUAGGAUAGGUGGGAGGCUUUGAAGUGUGGACGCCAGUCUGCAUGGAGCCGACCUUGAAAUACCACCCUUUAAUGUUUGAUGUUCUAACGUGGACCCGUAAUCCGGGUUGCGGACAGUGUCUGGUGGGUAGUUUGACUGGGGCGGUCUCCUCCUAAAGAGUAACGGAGGAGCACGAAGGUUGGCUAAUCCUGGUCGGACAUCAGGAGGUUAGUGCAAUGGCAUAAGCCAGCUUGACUGCGAGCGUGACGGCGCGAGCAGGUGCGAAAGCAGGUCAUAGUGAUCCGGUGGUUCUGAAUGGAAGGGCCAUCGCUCAACGGAUAAAAGGUACUCCGGGGAUAACAGGCUGAUACCGCCCAAGAGUUCAUAUCGACGGCGGUGUUUGGCACCUCGAUGUCGGCUCAUCACAUCCUGGGGCUGAAGUAGGUCCCAAGGGUAUGGCUGUUCGCCAUUUAAAGUGGUACGCGAGCUGGGUUUAGAACGUCGUGAGACAGUUCGGUCCCUAUCUGCCGUGGGCGCUGGAGAACUGAGGGGGGCUGCUCCUAGUACGAGAGGACCGGAGUGGACGCAUCACUGGUGUUCGGGUUGUCAUGCCAAUGGCACUGCCCGGUAGCUAAAUGCGGAAGAGAUAAGUGCUGAAAGCAUCUAAGCACGAAACUUGCCCCGAGAUGAGUUCUCCCUGAGACUUAGAGUCUCCUGAAGGAACGUUGAAGACGACGACGUUGAUAGGCCGGGUGUGUAAGCGCAGCGAUGCGUUGAGCUAACCGGUACUAAUGAACCGUGAGGCUUAACCUU